CCUACGGGUGGCAGCAGUGAGGAAUAUUGCUCAAUGGGCGAGAGCCUGAACCAGCCAAGUCGCGUGAGGGAAGACGGUCCUAUGGAUUGUAACCCUCUUUUGUCGAGGAGCAAAUAGGCCUCGUGAGGCCACAAGUGAGAGCACCCGAAGAAAAAGCAUCGGCUAACUCCGUGCCAGCAGCCGCGGUAAUACGGAGGAUGCGAGCGUUCUUCGGAUUAGUUGGGUUUAAAGGGUGCGUAGGCGGACUGGAAAGUCAGCGGUAAAAUCGAGUGGCUAAACCUAGUUCCGCCGUUGAAACUGUCGGUCUUGAGUAGGCGAGAGGUAGGUGGAAUGCGUGGUGUAGGGGUGAAAUGCAUAGAGAUCACGAAGAA
rnacentral:rRNA from 1 species